rnacentral:rRNA from 1 species
UACAGAGGUCCCAAGCGUUGUUCGGAUUCACUGGGCGUAAAGGGUGCGUAGGCGGCUGUGGAAGUCUGAUGUGAAAGCUCGGAGCUCAACUCCGAAAAGGCAUUGGAUACUCUGCAGCUAGAGGAUUGGAGGGGGGACUGGAAUUCUCGGUGUAGCAGUGAAAUGCGUAGAUAUCGAGAGGAACACCAGUGGCGAAGGCGAGUCCCUGGACAAUUCCUGACGCUGAGGCACGAAAGCUAGGGGAGCAAACAGG